CCUCACACACCUCACAGCCCUCACACCUCUCACACCUCACAGCGCGGCCGUCGGGCCGUGUCGCCUGAAGCUCGUCCAUCCCGGCGCACGGCAGGGGUUGGAAAGGACCUCCAGAGAUCAUCGAGACCAGCCCCCCUGCAAAGCUGGCACCCUACAGCAUGCUGCACAGCCACUUAUGAAACCCUCCAUUCUCGCAGAGGAAACAAACUAUGAACUUAGAACUUAACUUCUCAGGUAAUAUAAUUUAAAAUAAACUAAAUACUCUAUACAAUAUAGGCUACUUUCCAUUGUUUUCAUAAAAAUUUCACUGUGAAAUAAGUCAUAGAGGUUUUGGAUUUAAUAUAUUUGCUGAGUCAAACUCAUCGCUGCCUACUACCUGACACCUCAUUCAAGCAGCAUUUUCUGGCUUCAUCAUUAGAAGAAAGCCUUGCUGACAGAAACUAUUGUUAAUCUUGGAGUAGUACUAUUGACAGUAACUUUAUAUGGAAACAAAGUUCAUCCCUAUCAGCUGAAUUAAAUUCACAAUUUUAGAUAGUCUACUGUAUUUUCUUAAAGUGGAUUCACUGUUUUAAGAGAUGUAGGGACACAUCAGCAGCCCGAUACCAGCAGCAUCCAUAAUGAAAAACCUUACAUAUACAUAGGGGACUUGUAUGUUCUGAAAGGAAUAUUUAGGUACACCAAACUAUUUUAAAUGUCAUACCAGUAUGUUGUGCAAAGGUUCACUUGAUCUUUUGAGUGAAGAAACUGAAGAAUUUGGAUUUAAUCGAAACGCAAGACUAAGUCAUAGAGUAA